AGGGCCGUAACGUCCAGGUAUUGUUUGCUGCAGCACCAGGUCGAAUUUAACAGUCGCUUUAAGAACUGCAGGUGCAAAAAGAUCACUUCCUGGUGAUUGUUUCGAAAAGUAGAUGAUUUGGCAAAAAUUUUGGUCGGUCGGUGAAACGAGAUCUUCGGCUGGAUAUGGACCACAAGGUGGAUGUGCUUGAGUAGUGAAUAAUAGUGAUUUUGUGUUAGUGAGUGUUGUUGUAAUUCGAUUCCACUAGUGAAGUAAUCUUUAAUUAAUUUAUUUUAAACCAAAUCACUUUUAUCUAAGAAAUCGUGUUUAAGACUUUGAGAAAAAAUCAGAAACAGUAGAGCUAUUUGAAAAUAUUUUGAAAAUGUGUUUGAAGUAAAAGUCAAUAAAGACUGAGUUUUUUUAAA